rnacentral:rRNA from 1 species
UGGGGAAUAUUGGACAAUGGGCGCAAGCCUGAUCCAGCCAUGCCGCGUGAGUGAUGAAGGCCCUAGGGUUGUAAGCCCUUUCACCGGGGAAAAUAAUGACCGUUACCGGAGAAGAAGCCCCGGCCUACUUCGUGCCCGCCACCGCGGUAAUACGAAGGGGGCUAGCGUUUUUCGGAUUUACUGGGCGUAAAGCGCACGUAGGCGGACUUUUAAGUCAGGGGUGAAAUCCCGGGGCUCAACCCCGGAACUGCCUUUGAUACUGGAAGUCUUGAGUAUGGUAGAGGUGAGUGGAAUUCCGAGUGUAGAGGUGAAAUUCGUAGAUAUUCGGAGGAACACCAGUGGCGAAGGCGGCUCACUGGACCAUUACUGACGCUGAGGUGCGAAAGCGUGAGGAGCAAACAGG